GCUCCAUUAGUCUAAUGGUAUGACAGCUGUUUCGUAAUCAGCUGGCGGGGGUUCGAUUCCCUCAUGGAGCACCACCC
rnacentral:tRNA from 1 species